GCCCACUUGGCUAAGUGGUUCACAGCGCCGCACUUGUACAUUGUGUAUUAUGCGGAGAUCACUCGUUCAACUCGGGUAGUGGGCA